rnacentral:rRNA from 1 species
UACGUAGGGUGCAAGCGUUAAUCGGAAUUACUGGGCGUAAAGCGUGCGCAGGCGGUUAUGUAAGACAGGUGUGAAAUCCCCGGGCUUAACCUGGGAACUGCAUUUGUGACUGCAUAGCUAGAGUACGGUAGAGGGGGGAUGGAAUUCCGCGUGUAGCAGUGAAAUUCGUAGAUAUCGGGAGGAACACCAGUGGCGAAGGCGGCGACCUGGGCCAAUAUUGAC